rnacentral:lncRNA from 1 species
CUUUGCUUUUUUUCUCCACAGGCUUUCUCAGCAACCCCUCCACUUGCAGAGUGGAGAACAAUUGAACAUGCAAGGAUGUCUGCAGCACCAUGUACUGCAUGACCACGCUUAACUGGACGGAGCCCCACAAUCCAUACCAACAUCUCAUCUCAUCUGACCCUCGGGAAAGGAAAAUUUUCUCUGUCUUCUUGAGGAGUCAGUCCUUCUCCUGAGUGUGGGACAACGAUAUAACACAUUGAAAUUGAUGCUAUGUUACAAGACCACCCCUUUGCUAUUCCUGGCACAUCAGGGCUUCUUAGGGUGGAACUUUAACUUCCAGCACCCUUGGAAGCUUUAGUAGCAG